rnacentral:rRNA from 1 species
CCCUUAGAUGUUCUGGGCCGCACGCGCGCUACACUGAUGGGUUCAUCGAGCUUACAACCUUGACUGACAGGUCUGGGUAAUCUUUUUAAAGCCCAUCGUGCUGGGGAUAGAUUAUUGCAAUUCUUAAUCUUCAACGAGGAAUUCCUAGUAAACGCAAGUCAUCAACUUGCAUUGAUUACGUCCCUGCCCUUUGUACACACCGCCCGUCGCACCUACCGAUUGAAUGGUCCGGUGAAGCCUCCGGAUUGGCGCGCACCUCGGUGCCGCCGAGAAGUUGGCUAAACCUUACCAUUUAGAGGAAGGUGAAGUCGUAACA